GCUGGGUGUGGUGGUGCAUGCCUGUAAUCCCAGCACUUUGGGAGGCUGAGGCGGGUGGAUCACCUGAGGUCAGGAUUUGGCGACCAGCCUGACUAACAUGGUGAAACCCCGUCUCUA
ensembl:misc_RNA Metazoa_SRP Metazoan signal recognition particle RNA